AUGCAACCUCAAUAGCAAUGGUUGCAAUCUGCCAUAAAAUGGAAAGAAGCAAUUAUUCACUGUCGAUAACCGUGGAGGAGCCAGAGUGGAAAAGGAGGAGGUCUGACAUGUUUUCUCAGAAAGUCUCAAAACCAAUCUUUAUUGCAGAAUUUCCACAACAAUUUGGUGACCAGGACGGGAUGCUGACUGUAACCAGCGGCGAACUAAAUACCGACAGACAAAGCUGUUCACAAUCAGAGGAAAAUCUCUGCAGACUCCCAGUACCUCCCCUAGAAAAAGAGGGUGAAAGGGGGAACCCCUGAUGGUCGAGGGUGACCCUGAGUCACUACAGCAUCCCAACAAGAAAGAGCAUGAACAACCUCUCCCAAGAGAGAAGAGAGCCUUGUUCUAAUCCAAAAACAGGUGAAAGAGGCCAAAGGGAAACUAACCUAACCAUAACCUGAGCCCAGUGGACUGGAAAGUGGUGAAGGAUUCCAGAAAGAAAGCCUGGAAAGCACCUUGGUGGACAGAACCCUUCCAGAUUCUGCUGACGACAGCCUCAGCAGUGAAGAUGAGAGAGCCAUUUGGAUCCAUGCCAAUAGAAUGGUUUAAAAACCCACUGAUCUGCUCUAAUCUGAAACACAGAAGAGGGAAUACUCCACGCAUCCUGCUAAAAUGAGAGAAACCUGCAGAACAGGAAGGCAGCCAUCACUUAAAUCUACACCUUGGCACCCCUUCCAGGUGAUGGGGUGUGACUUCGGAGUAAUAACAUGCUGCCUCCUAAUAAUAACCAUUGUGGUUAUUGCCUCCAUCAUGUUUUUUUUUUUUCCCAAAAAUUGACGACAUUGCCAUGGCCCCCACAUCUUUUAUAGCAAUCCCCCCUGUAAAUAAGACACGAACAACAAACUGGUGGUAUGCGCCUGAAGAUCUCCACGUUCCAACAUCAUGGCAAUUUAACACCUGGUACCACUGGGUGUUAGCACAAAAACAGCUAAAGCAUUGGAAAAAUUGAGAAUGAUAAGUGUGCAAUGUUUGUAAAGUUUUUUCUCCUUUUCAUGAUGUCGAUGUUUCUAAAGAGCUUACUGUGACCCAUGAUUACAUUCAGAUUCUUUCAAAGUUCUUCUGUUAACCAGAAAGGAGUUUUUUGUGUAUGUAUUUUUAAUUUAAGUCAAAAUUCUGAAAGGGGGGAAGUGCAGAAGAAGAAAAAAAAAGAAAAAAUAUAUAAAAUAUAGAUCAUGCUCUGACAUUUUGCAAAUGUACAAGAUACUAGAGUGUAAAUCGAUGAGACAGUGUUGUGUUUCAGCAAACUGACUUCUAAAAAAUGUAACUAAAGCAGAGCUUCCUUGAAAUGUUUUUCCUUCUAGUGAUGUGACUUGUCAUAACGAAUGAGAUUGUUCCUAUGUACAGGCGUAUCUGAGUUCUUAGUGUAUAAAAAUUAACUGCAGUGAAUGAUGCUUUGCCUUUUACCUUCGACAGCUCUGUGUUGUUUGGUAUCACACCCACUUGUGUAGGAAUAAGCCCAGAAAGGCCACUCUCUCUUGUGAGUCUUUAUUGCAGAAUUUCCACAACAGAGUUCCCCUUUAAUCUCAUCUGAGUCCCGCUGUAUUUAUAUCCGAAUUUGCCAGGACCUGCUGCAUUAUGCUCAUCCUCAGGAUAAUAAAACUCCAUAGUGACUGAUUGUAACCUACACGGACCAUUACACUAGGCUACUUGUUCACUGUCAAAGUGGCUGAAGUUUAAAAUGUAAAACUGUGGCUGUGGGUUCCUUAAAGCCAGUCAGUCAAGCGUCAUAUCAAGUCAAAAUAACUUUGUUGUCAUUCUGACUAUACACAGGACAAGUGCACAGUAGAAUGAAAUUACAUUGCAUCUGGCUCACGAUGAUAACUGAGAAAUACUGUGGUGUG